GGUAACGACUCCGCCCACUGAAUCUUCCCGGCGGGGUUACUCGCCCGUGCUGUCACAAAGCGCACUACAACCUAUGCGAAGGCACAGGACCAGGAAGAUGAGCUGGAAGCAAAAAAGGGUGAACCCCAGAAUUUAGUCACCACUUUGGAUACAAACAGAAAAAAAACUACUUAGAUUGAGAGAGUUUCUUCCCUGGCAACGAUCUGAAUUGCGCGUUCGCACCUGUCCAUUUAUUUAUUUUAAAACCCUUUGUCCUCGUUAUUAUUUGACUAGCAGAAGGUAUCCACCUUGGUACUUUUGACAGAGCGCAAAACCUGCUGUGCUGACGCGUGCGAAAGCUAUUUUAACCCCGGCGCAAAACCAACAGAACCGGACCGCUCUCGACUGCAUCCCUCUCAAGAGCCGAAGAACUUAAAUAAUUGGCGAGGGGUCCUCUGCUCUUAAUGGGAUGUUAGUGGGCCCGGAGGGGGAAGUAGCAUGGUGAAGCACCAGCCCCUGCAGGUCUACGAGAAGCAGCUGUGUUUGUCAUGUCUGACCGGGAUUUACGGCUGCCGCUGGAAACGCUACCAGAGGUCACAUGACAGCACCACCAAGUGGGAGUGUCUGUGGACCCUUGUCCUGGUCCUCACGUUCUCUCUGCUCCUGAUCUGGUCGUACUUCUGGUGGGAGGCCCACAAUGACUACAACGAGUUCAACUGGGUGCUGUAUAACAGAUCGGGGGAGUGGAGCGACGGGACCGUCUCCAUCCUCGCCACCACGGCCGUCGGCUUCACCUACAUCACCUUUCUAAUGAUCUUAGCCCUGGGGCACGUCGCCAUGGGACAGCAGCUGAACCUGCACUGGCUUCACAAGAUUGGCGUUACGGCGGCCCUGCUGACCACCAUCACGGGGCUCGUGUCCACCAAUCAGAUCUGGGGCGAGGAGUGGGACAUCGUGCCCAUCUCUCUGCAGGCCACCGGGCCCUUCCUGCACAUCGGAGCCGUGGCGGCCGGCACCGCGCUGGCCUGGCUGGUCGCCGGGCAGGUCGCCCGCGCCGAGAGAACCCGUACUCAGGUGGUGCUGGUGCUGGUGUACCUGAGCGCCCUGCUAGCCCUCUACCUGCUGCCCCUCAACAUCACCUCCCCGUGCCUGAUGGACCGCAGCAACCUCCGGCCACCGCCAGCCAUCAUUGGCCACCGCGGAGCACCAAUGCUGGCUCCAGAGAACACCCUGAUGUCCUUUCACAAAGCGGUGCAGCAGAGGGUGGUGGGGCUUGAAGCUGACGUUGCGAUCAGCCUGGACGGAGUGCCCUUCCUCAUGCGGGACCGGACCCUGCGGAGGACCACGGACGUUUCGGCGGUCUUCCCCGAGCGGCAGUUCCACGACGCCUCGCUGUUCAACUGGACGGACCUGCGGGCGCUCAACGCCGGCCGCUGGUUCCUCAAGGACGACCCCUUCUGGACGGUGCAGGCCAUGUCCGAGAGGGACCAGGUUCGGGCGGGGAACCAGACGGUGUGCAGCCUGGAGCAGCUCCUGCGGUUCGCGGCCCGUUCCAACGUCUCGGUCCUCUUCAACCUGCGGCGCCCCCCGCAGGGACACCCCCGCCGCGACAGCUGGGUCAACGACACCCUGGAGACCGUGCUGCAGUCCGGGAUACGCCAGGAGCAGGUGAUGUGGACCCCGGACUGGGACAGGGGCGCGGUUCGGGAGGUGGCCCGGGGCCUCCAGCAGACCUCCGAGGAGAAGCGCCCGCCGACGGACCUCCGGGAGCGCGGGAUCGUCCGGCUGCAGCUGCGCUACAACCAGGCCAGCGCUCAGGAAAUACGGGAAUUCUCAGCAGCCAACCUGAGUCUGACGCUGUCCAGUGUGAAUGACCCCUGGCUCUUCUCAGUGCUGUGGUGCAGCGGGGUCCCCUCUGUGUCCUCAGAUGCACCCCAAAUCCUCAGGAAGGUGCCUUACCCGGUCUGGCUGAUGAGCCCAGAUGAGUACAGCGUGGUCUGGAUCGCCACGGACCUCGUCUCUUUCGCAAUAGUAAUAGGAAUAUUUGUGUUCCAGAACUAUCACAUGAUCAGGUGGCGCUUGAGCGGGAUGCAGCGCUACAACCCGGAGCAGAUCAUGCUGAGCGCCGCCGUCCGCAGGUCCAGCCGCGACGUCAACAUCAUGAAGGAGAAGCUCAUCUUCUCAGGGAACCGCCAGUAACCGGCACUCCAGCUGGGUCACGAGCCCCGCCCCCCAUCCCCAACCCCACCCGCCUGCACCUCCGCCUCCACCUCCACCUGCACGUCCACCUGCUCCUCCACCUCCUCCAGGGUCCCUCCAUUUCAUCUCAUAACACUCCCGGCCUCCUCGGCCCCUAACCGCCUGCUGCCCCCCCACACCCAGCCCCCCACCUCCCCCUGAAGCCUGUGGCAGCCUCUCUGGCUCUGCAGUGGCAAGGUCAUGACCUCAUCAGAGAGGUGAGCAAUGGCAUAGGGGAUUCGGAUGAGCUGUCUGUGUACGCGGAAAACGGAUACGACUACUACUCGAACCAGGGCAUCGCCCAGUAACCAGGACAACCCACACCGACGCACACUGGCCCGGAGGACUUAUCGGACAUCAACAGGAAUCGGACAAAAAGAACACGUGUGGACACAGGAGCACGCAGGACUCUUGUGUUCAGUUUGGAUGCAUGUAGGACUCUGGGAAACUGAGUUCUGUCCCUUCGUCAAAGCUUCUGAUUGGCUGUUCUGGAAUCACCCAACUGUUGCGCGUAUACUGGAAAUGUAAAAAUACUGCUUUUGCAUGGCAGGAUUUAAGUGCGCUUGGCGGUCUACAAGCACAUGUUUUCAAACAGAUUAGACUCCAAAUUCAAAGUCUAAAGCCUGCACCCUUGACCUUUUUGAUGUUUUGAAAAGCACUUGGAUUAGCCAACCCAGCUGUGUACCUCUUGGGCCUUCAACGCAUGACCGUUUUUUUACAAACGCUUCGCUCAUGAUUUCAUUUGCAUAUUUAUAUUCUUUCCAUUAAGGAACGCGUACGCGUACGACCGUCAGUCGUCCCUCUGGAUCACUGUUAUGUGAAAUGCGUGCGCGAUUCUGCCUUGCGGGGACUCUACGGUGUGUAACGUGGCCCACUGUGGCCUGCACAGACGCAACAAACAAACCUUAAGUACUUAAGUGUCUGCCGUUCCUUGGAGAGGUGCAAGUUACAGUUAGAGAAAUGAAAAUGUGGUUUUGAUUUUUUUUUUUUUUUUCCAGUGUGGUUUAUUUUUUGUAUAUUUUGUGUACAGUGCAGUCUGUAAGUGUUUUGACACUAUUUUGUGUUGUUUUGGCUCUGCACUCCAGCACAUUGAAUUUGAAAUGAACCAAUGAAUAUUUACAUUCAUAUCUGGUGAUCUGUGCAGGACUUGCAGCUCUGUUUCUGUAUAGUUCCCCCAUUUUAGGGGACUAAAAGUAAGUGGGUAAAUUAACAUAAUCUUAAAUAAUGUUGUCAUAUUUAGUACCUAGUUGCAAAUCCUUUGCAUUCGAUGACUGCCUGAAGUCUGAGACCCAUAGACAUCACCGGACACUGGUUGUCUUCUCUGGUGAUGUUCUGCUAGGCCUGUACUGCAGCUGUCUUCAGCCCCUGUUUGUUUCUGGGGCGUUUUGCCUUCAGUCUUGUUUUCAGCACGUUCGGUUGGAUUCAGGUCAGGAGAUUGACUUAGCCGGUCGAGAACAUUACACUUUUUGGCCCUGAAAAACUUCUUGGUUGCUUUAGCAGUAUGUUUGGGGUCAUUGUCCUGCUGCAAGGUGAAACGCCGUCCAAUGAGAUUUGAGGCAUUUGGUUGGACCUGAACAGAUGUGAUGUUUCUGUACACCUCAGAAGUCAUCACAUCAUUAAUGAAGACAAUUGAGCCAGUUCCAUUGGCAGCCAUACAUGACUAGGACAUGUUUCACAGAUGAGGGGGGUGCACUGGGUCAUGAGCAGUUUCUUUCUUUCUUCACUUUUUUCUUCCAUAAUGUACAGGAUAAUACUCCAUUAGAAUUAGUUCCAGAACUCUAGUUUUUUAAUGUACUUCUUUGCAAACUCUAACUCUUGAGGCUUACCAGUGGUUUGCAUCUUGCAGUGUACCCUCUGAAGUUAUGCUGGUGUGGGCUUCUCUUUAUAGUAGUCUUUGACACAUCUAUGCUUACACCCUGGAGAGUGUUCUUGUUCUGUUCGUCCGUUUAAGCCAACUGUCCAGUUACUUUUGCUCCCCUAAAAUGGGGGGACUCAUUUAUAAAAAGGGCUGCGAUUUCUAAAAGGUUCCCCUAAUAUGGACGUAAAUGCGCUCAAAUUAAACUGGACAGUCUGCGCUUCAAUCUCGUAUUCACAUUUCAUUUAAAAAAUCCAAUGUGCUGGAGUACAAAGCCGAAACGACAAAAAAUUGUCUCACUGUCCAAAUGCCCAGACUGCACAGUAUGUGAUGUUAGGUAUAAAUGCUCAUUGGCUGUGAUUCUACUGUAGACUGUAGCACAGCUGCCGUUAACUGGAGACAUCCAGUACCUCUCUCGCCUGGAGUGAAUGUGUCCAUUUGUCGUGAUGCAUCGCGAUGUGCGUAGUGAUAGCGCGUAAGGUGUUCUUCCCACAUUGCGGUAUUUGGUGUGCUACAUAUAUUCUUAGCGUGACCUUGUGCAAGCUGCCUUAGCAUGGUCUUACUCAUAUGAAGUUCCACUGUGGUAAAUAGUCCGUAGCUGGUUAAAAGUAUUCCUCUGAACUUUCUCCAAAGGUCAGGUUUAUUUUUACAAUUAACUUGGUUUGUGGCGCUUCAGUCAUUUCAAAAGAAAAAAAACCCAUAAUGUGAAAUGUUGUGAUCUUGUAUUUUUUUGUCGGCUGACAUUAAAUAUAUGCCUUUUACAAAAAAAUAAAAUAAAAUACAAAAAACAAAUAAGUGAUAGCUUUGAGGGUUAUGUCUAGCUUUAGAUUCACUACAAACGUUUUCGUACUUGUUCUCGCCUGUAAAAGAGACUGCUUUGUAAACACAUCGAGUUGUUUCAUCUGAAAUAAUAAGUAACGCUGGUGUAAAUUCGCUUUUCUCUAAACAUUUCUCAUAGUAUAGAAAAAAACCAGUAGAACAUUACUGUAUAUAGCCUAUUCUCAUAUUAAUGCAAAUAUGCUGCAAAUGAGAAAAUAUGCUUUAACUAUUUUUUCUUUUUGUUAAGGUGGCUAUGUGGACUGUGACAUUCAUGUUAAGGAGGUUAUUAACCUGAACUAAUCACAUGCAGUACUGCAAAUAAAUUUGCAAAGUAAUUACAAUAAUUGUGCGGUAGGCAACUCUUUCAUUAAAGGUUAUUGCGUGAGUUAGAAGGCUAAUUAAAGACGUUUCCAGUACUAAAGUGAUUUUCUCGUGUCAAGGAACCUCAGUGGGCAUUUCCGAAAAUUUGCACCGGAAGCGAUUAAUUCAUCAUACACCUAAUAGUUAUAGCAGAUCAGUGUCUGAGCAUAAUCCAGCACUCACAAUAUUCUAAUUGUUUAUCGGCCAGCCCACUGAAGAUAAACUGGAUCAUGACCAGGACAUUGUACGCAUUAACUGUGACACAGUACUAUAUUUUACCAGUACAUACAUGAAUCAUAAGUUAGUUUAGAGUCUUGGCAGUUCAUUUGGAUUCAACUUUAAACAGCAAAUGCUAAGAAUUGCAGUGUGGACCGCUUUAACGAAGCAUUGGAGGUGGUGUUCUUUAAUUGCUGUGAUACGUUGUCUUACGAUUGAACCACGUUUCCUGUGAAGUUUAAUACGCAUUUAUGAUCUUCAUAAUUUUUGUAGAACUUUUCCAGUUGAUGUUCUGGAAACAUCUCAGAGAGUUUUGGCUUCAUUUAUCGUGUUCUUUUUUAUUUUUUAUUUAUUGUUAUAAUUUUGCAUAUUCAUACGCAAUCCCUGACUUUACUAUAAACUAAUCUCAUUCAGAAUGCAGUGUUAACCAACGCUCAUGAUAAAUUCCAGUUUCAUUUAUUAUAUUUCUGUUUAUGAAAUUACAUAUAAUCCGUUGUCUAGACAUAGAAACAGUUCCAGAACGUUGCAGGAACAUUCUGAACAUUUUGAUUACAGACCCUAUCUCUAUUAAUGAUUCAUGGAACACUGUUUUUAAUUCUGUUUUUAAACCUUUUUAUGUCAGUUUUGUAACUUUUAAGACUUGUGUUUUGAACUGAAAUAAUUUAAGUGCUGUAUUCUGAAAAAAAUCUAUUAUUGGAGUGGGUUUAUUGUUUGUUUUUGUUUUGUUUUGUUUUUUUUGGGGGGGGGGGGGGUUUAUGCACUUGGCCAUUGUUUGAAGUGUUCAGUGUCUAGGAAUGAUUUCAGCACGUUUCCCUUAUUGAUUAAGGGAAUUAAAACUGGACAGUAUAAGGAACUAGAAAGCUACCUUGCUAAUGCAUUUCUUUCUAUAAGUGACAAUAUGUUGCACUUUUUUUGUUUUGUUUAUUUUUGAGGGGGGGGUGUGCAAUAAAUUCUUUUUGCAUUUUGA